UCCCUGGGAGUCCAACAGUUAAGACUCUGCUCUUCCACUGCAAGGGGCACAGGUUCCAUUCCUGGUCAGGGAG
rnacentral:tRNA from 1 species